rnacentral:rRNA from 1 species
AAAACAUGAUUCCUCANUACGGCGAGCGAAGAGGGAUAAGCUCAAAUUUUAAAUCUGUUGGGUUUCAACCUAACAGAGUUGUAUUUUGAAGAAACGUUUUCUGCGUCCAGGAUUAGCCUAAAUCCUUUGGGAUAAGGUAUCAUGGAGGGUGAGAAUCCCGUUCAUGGUUAAUCUUAAGGAUGUUCUACGAUACGUUCUCCAAGAGUCGAGUUGUUUGGGAUUGCAGCUCAAAAUGGGAGGUAAAUUUCUCCUAAGGCUAAAUAUUGGCGAGAGACCGAUAGCGAACAAGUACCGUGAGGGAAAGAUGAAAAGAACUUUGAAAAGAGAGUUAAACAGUACGUGAAAUUGUUGAAAGGGAAACGAUUGAAGUCAGUCAUACCAACGGGAAAUCAACCUUUUGAGUUUGUUCUUGUGGGUUUCGAGGAGUUUAAAAGCCCUCGGAUUUGCUAGGAUUGGGUUCUUUUGGUGUACUUUCUCGUACGGUUAGUCAACAUCGGUUUUGAAUGUCAUAAAAUGACUGGAGGAAUGUGGCUUCGAUCUCGUAUCGAAGUGUUAUAACCUUUGGUAGAUGUGAUGUUCGAGACCGAGGAUUGCAACGGAUACCUUCCAGGCUAUUCGUCUGAUCUCUGAUACGUUGCCUUGAUGUCGAAAGCGUGCUUAUGAUGUUAGGGUAUUACGGUCAAAAGGUUAGAACGGAUUAAAUUCGUUAAGGAUGUUGACGUA